rnacentral:lncRNA from 1 species
CUGACUGAGACACUUCUGGGAUUACAAUUUUUAUUUUAUUUUAUUUAUUUUUUAAUUUAUUUUUCAAUACAGGGGAUGGAACUCAGGACCUUGUGCUUACAAGGCAGCUCAGAGCUACCUGGAUGCAAUCCUCAGUAAUAAAACAGAUAAAUUAGAUUUCAUCUACCUAAUUUGAGAAGAAAUCUACAACGAAGUCAGAGACACUAGCUAUUUGAUCUAAAUGUCUGACCAUGGAUUUUAGGAAAUAUCCAGAUAAAGUUGAAGACCAGGUACUUGGCCAAACUUCUGCUCAUCAGGAAGAUUUUCUCUCAUGUCACACUGACCAAACCUGGAAUAGAGCUUGGAG